rnacentral:rRNA from 1 species
UACGUAGGUCCCGAGCGUUGUCCGGAUUUAUUGGGCGUAAAGCGAGCGCAGGUGGUUUAUUAAGUCUGGUGUAAAAGGCAGUGGCUCAACCAUUGUAUGCAUUGGAAACUGGUAGACUUGAGUGCAGGAGAGGAGAGUGGAAUUCCAUGUGUAGCGGUGAAAUGCGUAGAUAUAUGGAGGAACACCGGUGGCGAAAGCGGCUCUCUGGCCUGUAACUGACGUUGAGGCACGAAAGUGUGGGGAGCAAACAGG